CUACGGGGGGCUGCAGUGGGGAAUAUUGGACAAUGGGGGAAACCCUGAUCCAGCAAUGCCGCGUGUGUGAAGAAGGCCUGCGGGUUGUAAAGCACUUUCGGUUGGGAGGACUGCUUCUAGCACUAAUAUUGUUGGAAGUUGACGUUACCUUCAGAAGAAGCACCGGCUAACUCCGUGCCAGCAGCCGCGGUGAAUACGGAGGGUGCAAGCGUUCAUCGGAAUUACUGGGCGUAAAGCGCGCGUAGGCGGCUAGAUCAGUCGGGUGUGAAAGCCCCGGGCUUAACCUGGGAACUGCAUCCGAUACUGGCUAGCUUGAGUACAGGAGAGGAGAGUGGAAUUCCACAUGUAGCGGUGAAAUGCGUAGAUAUGUGGAGGAACACCAAUGGCGAAGGCAGCUCUCUGGCCUGAUACUGACGCUGAGGUGCGAAAGCGUGGGGAGCAAACAGGAUUAGAUACCCUCGUAGUC
rnacentral:rRNA from 1 species